GACGAACGCUGGCGGCGUGCCUAAUACAUGCAAGUUGAGCGCUGAAGGUUGGUACUUGUACCAACUGGAUGAGCAGCGAACGGGUGAGUAACGCGUGGGGAAUCUGCCUUUGAGCGGGGGACAACAUUUGGAAACGAUUGCUAAUACCGCAUAAAAACUUUAAACACAAGUUUUAAGUUUGAAAGAUGCAAUUGCAUCACUCAAAGAUGAUCCCGCGUUGUAUUAGCUAGUUGGUGAGGUAAAGGCUCACCAAGGCGAUGAUACAUAGCCGACCUGAGAGGGUGAUCGGCCACAUUGGGACUGAGACACGGCCCAAACUCCUACGGGAGGCAGCAGUAGGGAAUCUUCGGCAAUGGACGAAAGUCUGACCGAGCAACGCCGCGUGAGUGAAGAAGGUUUUCGGAUCGUAAAACUCUGUUAGUAGGGAAGAACGUUGGUGAGAGUGGAAAGCUCAUCAAGUGACGGUAACUACCCAGAAAGGGACGGCUAACUACGU
rnacentral:rRNA from 1 species